CAUCUCAGCCUCCCAAAGUGCUCAGAUACAGGCAUAUGCCACUGCAUCUGGCCAAGAUUACCAUUUUCUGAAAAGCAGUAGCAGAAGUUCAUGAGAUUUUGAAUAUGAAUCUGAAACCCAUGUAAAAGUUUCAUUUUUGUUCUUGUGACUUAGUUUCUGGUAUUUUAUUAAAUAAAAUGGUUUCUAGCUUGACGUAGAUUUCAGUUCAUGAGUUCUAUUAAAAUUCCUUCCCUGAAACAACUUGCUACUUUUGCUUGUGUGUCUGGCAUUAAUUUUCUUUUCAUAUUAGCAUUGCAGUUUAGCAUUAAGUGAAAGCAGAUUCAUGGUAAUUAACAAAGGAAUUACAAAUGGCCACCACAAAUACUGAAAGAAGUCAUUGAUUUGAUAUUGCAGUGAAUACCAGAGGUUGUAGUGAUUUUCCACUUAUAAAAAGUGAAUUGUCCAUUUAACUGUGGAAGUCUAAGCAAAUGUACUUAAUGUAUGUUGUAUUAGUCAAUGCAAAAAGUUAAAUAUGCCCAGGCUGAAAGAAAGCAUAUACUGUAUGGUCAUUCCUAUGCCAAAUGAUUUCUUUGGAAUUUAAACAAAUUUGUCAAGUAUUUUGUUCCUAAUUUAGGAAUAAAAAGCAGCUAAUGAUUUCUGACAUCGUACAUAGAUUAGUAGCACAUAACUCUGUUAUUUAGUAAUCACUAUAGAUAGUAAGGAAUUAAAGUUGUUAGUGAGGAAAACAGGAGUAUCCUGCCAUUUGCUUUCGUUCUUUUUGUGAUAGUUUUGAGGUGCGAUCAAUCCUGUGUGCAAGUCACUCAAGCAACCAGAAAGUGUCUUUGUAAUAUGCAUUGGUUUUCAUCUCAUGAAGUUCCAAUUAUUUAUCAUCCUUGCCACUCUUUGGCAAUUACAUUGAUUUCAAAAAGGAAUUCUGAUUCAUCUUAGUGUUUCAUAGAAUUGAAACACAAAAUAGCUUUACAGGUUUAAAGUUAUGAUAAGAAAAAGUCAUAGAGUUUUCUGAUGUUUUAAUAAUGACAUUGUUGGAAAAGUCAGUACCUGUCAUAUAGCUCACAUAACAUUCUUCUUGCAGAGUGAACGAGAAAAGAGGAGCUUUGUUUUUCAUCCUUUUUUUGUAGGCAGUGCUGAUCAAAUCAAGAAAUUAUUUUGGGGGAGCGGCAAGAUGGCGGCGCGGACAGCGCUCGGGGCCGUGUGCCAGCGCCUCUGGCAGGGAUUGGAGAAUUUUUCUGUAAACAGUUAUAAGGGCAGUACCGCCAAAAAUGGUGGCUUUCUUCUUACCAGUAUGAAGUGGGUACGGUUUUCAAAUCUACAUGUUGAUGUUCCAAAGGAUUUGACCAAACCUGUGAUAAGGAUCUCUGAUGAACCAGACACAUUAUAUAAGCGCCUGUUGGUUUUAGUGAAAGGACACGAUAGGGCUGUAUUGGACAGCUAUGAAUAUUUUGCUGUGCUUGCUGCUAAAGAACUUGGUAUCUCUAUUAAAGUACACAAACCUCCAAGGAAAAUAGAGCGAUUUACCCUUCUCAAAUCGGUGCAUAUUUACAAGAAGCACAGAGUUCAGUAUGAAAUGAGAACACUUUACAGAUGUUUAGAGUUAGAACAUCUAACUGGAAGCACAGCAGAUGUCUACUUAGAAUAUAUUCAGCGAAACUUACCUGAAGGAGUUGCCAUGGAAGUAACAAAGACACAAAUAGUACAGUUACCAGAACACAUCAAGGAGCCAAUCUGGGAAACAGUGUCAGAAGAAAAAGAAGAAAACAAGUCCUAAAGCCUCAGGGAGGCCAUUUGUACCUGAAUUUGAAAUGAGGGUGGGCCAGAUGAGUAUGUUUAAAGGGGGGGGCUUCCCCUUGG